UUGGAAGAUGACGAUGAAGCUCUUGUGAAUGGAAUUCGUGACCUUAUAGAAGAAGCCCAAGAGAGCUGCCUUGUCCUUUUUACCACGUGAGGACACAGCAAGAAGGUGCCAUCUGUGAACCAGGAAGCAAGCUCUCACUAGAUUUGGAAUCUGCCGAUGCCUCCGUCUUGGACUUCCCAGCCUCUGGGACAGCGAAGGAGUGACAGCUUCCAAACUGUUGAUCUCUCAGUGCUGAAACCAGCAGGUCCCUUCAGCGAGGGCCAAAUGAGCUGAACUCUCCAGGACACGUCUGAUUUAUAUGAUGCCCUCUCUGGGUCAGCAGCUUCAGCCAUGAAAACCUGCAAAACUGAAGCGCCCUUUGGCCAGCUGCUGGUUCUGCGACAUCACAGGGAGUCUGGCAUCCACACACCAAUUCUAGGCAAGGAAGCAAAGGAGCUUGCUCUUCAGCUUCUGUGGGCCCAUUUGUGAGUUUGAGCGGGUGCAGCCUCUCCUUGAAACAGAGGCCAGGUCCAUGGCAUGAGUCUUUUGUUCAGACCAAUGCCCCGCUGGAGGGUCUGGGAGCUGCUGAGCCAGAUUCCUGGGUGUGCCUGGGUGCUGUACCCGAAACUGCAGGGCCUGGGGCACCUGCCCUGCUCUCAUUGUUACCAGCUGGUUUAUUCUCAGUGGAGGGUUGUAAUUUAAUUCCUGUAUUUCUGCAGUACAUGGAGUUGGGAAUUAUAUCCUUCCUCUGUGUUUUCAUUACACUGACCUUCCUGCUUCGUUGCUUCUGAGACGGGAACCUCACCUGCCUGGCCUUUGUCUCCUUCUUCCCCAGAACCUCCCGAGACCUCUCAUCUGCUGAUUUGACAUGAAACCCCCUGCCCACCCCAGCUUGGCCCCAGCAGAUGUCUGGGUAGAGCCGUUACCCAGACCUCUGAUUUUUCCCAGGCUGUUUGCCUCUGAGGUUUCUUUUUUCUCUACCCACCGCCCCUGACCCUGGUGGCAGCUGGCUCAGGUCAACCACAGGAACAGCCAUAUCUUUCCUGCAGAUUCACAAUAGCUUCAGUGCCUUUCUGGUCCCACAGUCUUACCCGUGUCUUAUUGCCCCAUCCUCUCCCACCUUGGCUGCAGCUUGCAGAAGAGAGACCUGGUUAGGAGUCAGGCAAACCGUGGCUCCCAGCUGCUUCUGAUGUGACUUUAGUGAAGUGGCUAGACCUGUCUGAACCCUAUAUUCCUAAUCCCCAAAUCCGAGAUCUCUACAGUUGAGGAUGACAUGACUUCACAGGGCUGUCAUGAGGACUAGAUCCAACGGACCGAAGCCUUGCUGCAUGGUCGGUGCGUGCAUUGGUAAAGGUGGCUCAGGCCAGCUCCCUCCCCCACACCUGGCUCAGCGCAUAUUUUGCCUCGGAGUGUCCAGCCUUUACUCUCUCCUCUCGUGUGAGCUGGAACUGUCCCAGCAAGUGAUGAGCAAGUUCAGCGCUCUGCCUACCUGUGUGGAUUCUGAGUAGCAUGGCACACCCGCUCCCCACCCACACGUGUGGCUCACUCUGGGCAUAGGGAGACUCGGGCAACCUGGUCCCUGGUCUGAGUCCAAC